rnacentral:lncRNA from 1 species
UUUUGUAAUUUUAUUUCAGCUUUCACUUGACGAAACCUAUGUCCGAUUUAGCAUCAUGAUUUUAUUGGAGCUAACCACAGUCACUGUGCUAAUUGUUAAGCACACGGAUAAUUUCUAAAUCAGGUACUAUAUUAUAUUUUUCUGCAUUGCCUAUUUUAUUGAAAAUAUUUUAUCACAGUCGAGUCAAAAAUAUUUGAUUGUGUAUCUUGUUCUAUCAAAAGUCAAUUGAAACCAAAUUCAAAAUGAAUGGUCAACUAAACAAAUGUACGGAAUAGGUUACAAUAAACC